GUUUGAAAAAAUGCAUUGAUAUCAAAAAACCGCGUGAGAAUUCCGAGUGGAGUUCCGGCUAUAACUGGGAAAAAUACAUAUGGAAUGGUGAGCGUUCCAAGCAUAAAAUCACCAACAAGACCCCUGAAAUUAUUAGAAAU
ensembl:ncRNA T03F7.12 ncRNA